rnacentral:rRNA from 1 species
AUUGAACGCUGGCGGCAUGCCUAACACAUGCAAGUCGAACGGCAGCACAGUAUGUAGCAAUACAUAUGGGUGGCGAGUGGCGGACGGGUGAGUAACGCGUGGGAAUCUGCCCUAUAGUGGGGGACAACCCGACGAAAGUCGGGCUAAUACCGCAUACGCCUACGGGGAAGGCUUCGGCCGCUAUUGGAUGAGCCCGCGUCGGAUUAGCUAGUUGGUGAGGUAAUGGCUCACCAAGGCGACGAUCCGUAGCUGGUCUGAGAGGACGAUCAGCCACACUGGGACUGAGACACGGCCCAGACUCCUACGGGAGGCAGCAGUGGGGGAAUAUUGCACAAUGGGCGAAAGCCUGAUGCAGCAAUGCCGCGUGUGUGAAGAAGGCCUGCGGGUUGUAAAGCACUUUCGGUAGGGAAGAUAAUGACGGUACCUACAGAAGAAGCAACCGGCUAAACUCCGUGCCAGCAGCCGCGG